GAACGCUGGCGGCAUGCUUAACACAUGCAAGUCGAACGGAAACAGCAGAGCUUGCUCUGGCUGUCGAGUGGCGGACGGGUGAGUAACGCGUGGGAAUCUACCCAGUAUGGGGGAUAGCCAGGAGAAAUCCUGAUUAUACCGCAUACGAUCUACGGAUGAAAGGUGGCCAUCCUUGGAAGCUAUCGCUAUUGGAUGAGCUCGCGUUAGAUUAGCUAGUUGGUGGGGUAAAGGCCUACCAAGGCGACGAUCUAUAGCUGGUCUGAGAGGAUGAUCAGCCACAUCGGGACUGAGACACGGCCCGGACUCCUACGGGAGGCAGCAGUGGGGAAUAUUGGACAAUGGGCGCAAGCCUGAUCCAGCAAUGCCGCGUGUGUGAAGAAGGCCUUAGGGUUGUAAAGCACUUUCAAUUGUGAAGAAGGGGUUAAGGUUAAUACCCCUUGAUCUUUGACGUUAACUUUAGAAGAAGCACCGGCUAACUCUGUG
rnacentral:rRNA from 1 species